AAAAUUUCAAAAGGGUAAAAUGGUAAUUUGCUAUAAUCUCAUUUAUACCCUAUAACAAUUAAUUAAAACAAAGUAAAAAUAAAAUAGAGUUAUAAUAUUUAAAAAUAAACCACCACAAAAUGAAAAUAAAAUACAAUUAUGAUAUUUAAAAAUAAACCACCAUCACUCAUCCUCCUCCUUCCUCAACCAACCUACAACGUGGUUGACAUCUCGUUGCCACCAACCACACAACGUCGGCACCUCCACAGCCAGCACGACUUCUGACCCCCACCCCCACCCCCGGCUUCAACACCUGUCAACAUCGACAGGAAAUUCCCAAAACACCUAACCCGAGUUGAGAAGUAGGUUUUGAAAUAGGGAUCAAAUCUUCAUCUAAACCCAAAUCUCAAUAGAAGUCAAUCUACUGUAGAGUUCAAGAACUGAGUGUGUCUCGUAUAGAGAGGUUAUGGUGACGACGAUGGUGGGUUAUCUACUGCCGCUAAAGAGGUUCCAAAUGAAAAAUUAGUGCAACAUCAUGGCAAGAUGAUUCGAUUUCUGGUUUUGAUUUGAGUAGUGUGGGAUGUUAUUUCUGGAUUUGAUAAAGAUGAAUUAGAUUUUUGGUUUCAGAUUGACGGUGGGCUUGGCGGAGAUUUUUAUUGAAUGAUUUUCGAGUGUGGGAAUGAGUUUUCUGGGUUUGAUUUAAAAUUGCAGUGGGCUGGAAGGCAACAAUAGUGAAUGGAUGGUGGUGAGUAGGAGUUGUGGAGGCGGUGUGGGUCGAAGGUGGCGACGGCGACAAUUUCUGGUAAGGUCUCCUCGGGGAAAAAGAGUUACUCUGUUUUAAUUUUGGUGGGCGCGGGGUGGGGUUGGGUGGGUGUAUUUAUAUAUUUAUUUUUAUUUUUUGAAUUUUUUAUUUUAAUUUUUAACAGGGAUAAAUAAGAAUAAAUAGCAAAAUUAUCAUUUUAGCCUUUCGAAGUUUGGCCAAAUUCAACUUUUUUGUUUAUCUAACGGUCAAAUGGAUAGAAACCUCCUAAAUCAAGUAGUUUAAAAGCCCGGAACUGACAGGAUUCAAUCAGGCACUAUUUCCAAUGACUAUUUUGCGCAAUUAAUCGCUAUAUGUUUUCUAACUAUAACUGUCAGUGUAAUCCGUGUCCUGAGGUAGCCACAGGCUACCAACCUUUACAAUUACAUUUCCUCCGUUGGGAAUGAAAUUAGAUCUUAUGACUCAACUCGAUUUACGUUUUUUUCUGUUACGUCAAGUUGCUCAAUUUUAUAUCCAGAACCUCAGGCCCCCCUUUACUAUUAAGGGCGCAAGAGCGCCCCAAGAUGGUUAGGGGUUUUCUAUACUGGGUGGGGAAGAUCGAACUUGAAAUCCAUACAUAGGAGUGUGUGAGAGCCUCCCACUCAACCCAGCAAGUAAAAGGCGGAGGCGUAUUAUCAGUAACAGCACCCUAUACGAGUAGUUCAGUAAGUACCUAUAGUUCACCCAAUUUCCAUACCAGUAAAAGAACCGUUGAUUCGGUUCAAACCUCAAAUGCAUAUUUUUAAAAGAUUUUGGACCGUUAGCGGUACAAAGUGAAUGUUGAAGUAAAGUUUGCAAAAAAAUGAAAGGUAAAGAACUGUUACUGCAAUUUUUCCUUAAAUUUAUUCAUAACAUUUGUGAAGUGGAUUUGACAUAUUAGUAAUUAGAAAAGGAAUAUUAUGUGCAUAUCUUUUUUAGACAAUUGCCGCCGGUUAGCCCUCAGCACCAACAUUAUGUGUGGCUGACCAGUGCAGGGCGCACCAAAUACCUGCUCAAAGCUACACCUACUGCAUGUCAUGGUGAUAUAUCGAUUCACAAUCAAGAAUCAACUAUAGUAAAUUAGCUAAGCUAGAUAAUCAAGAUUUGUAAUAUGCUCAAGUUAUCACUUGCUUUUAUUUUUAUUUCUAUUACUUCAAAUAUAGUUUUACGAUCGAGUUGUAUUGUGAUUUCCUUUAGGCAAGUCAUACCGUGGAUGUCAUGUCUAUAAUACCUUUAAAUUGACCCUUUUUUCCUUUAUACAAGUACAAACAGGUGACUUGAGUUUUUUUCUUAUUAUUCAUUGAUUUAUCUCUCAUUAGCUUUAUCCAUAUUCCGCGCUUUUGAGUUUCCAGUCUCUCUUUUCAAUUUUAUAAAAUUGUAACAACAAACUCCAU
rnacentral:lncRNA from 1 species